CGGGGCGUAAAGUCUUGUAAUUGGAAUGAUGGGAAUUUAAACCUCUUCCAGAGUAUCAAUUGGAGGGCAAGUCUGGUGCCAGCAGCCGCGGUAAUUCCAGCUCCAAUAGCGUAUAUUAAAAUUGUUGCAGUUAAAAAGCUCGUAGUUGAAUUUCUGCUGCAUUGCUUGUGUCCCUCUGGGGUCUGUGCAUGUGGCUUUUUUCGGACGGAGUUUCUUUGUCUGAAUGUUUACUUUGAGAAAAUUAGAGUGCUCAAAGCAGGCUUUCGCCUUGAAUAGUUUAGCAUGGAAUAAUAAAGUAGGACUUUGGUUCUAUUUUGUUGGUUUUAGGUACCAAAGUAAUGGUUAAUAGGAACAGUUGGGGGCAUUCGUAUUUAACUGUCAGAGGUGAAAUUCUUAGAUUUGUUAAAGACGAACUACUGCGAAAGCAUUUGCCAAGGAUGUUUUCAUUAAUCAAGAAC
rnacentral:rRNA from 1 species